UGCUCUCGGGUCCUGGGGGAGCAGCUCUGCCUCCCCAGGCUGCGACAUCCACCUCGGCCCCCUCCUCCUGGGCUCACCAUUGUGGCAGCGCCAUGGGGAUCCCCCGAGCUCCUCACUGGGCUCCCAAGGGCUCCCUUCCUCCGCCCGAUGCCAUUUCCAUCCCCAUUCCCUGGCUCUCCCAGCUGGCUGAUGGGGGAAGGCGUUAUCCUGUGUGGCGGCUCUCCAGGAUUACAGGUCUAGAGCCAGAGAUGGGGAGCACGUUGGUGUUGGUGCCAGUGAUACCCAGGGCUGGUGGCGAGAGCUUUGGAAAGUCGGGGUGCCCCGCUGGCACAGGGUGCCUGUCACUGUGGGUUGGGGCCGGGAGCAGCGCUCUGGGUGCCCCAGAGCUGACGGUGGGCACUCUCUUUCUCUUUCUCUCUUUUUCUUUUGUCGGUGCCGGCUGGGCCGUGUCGCUGCCGUGCCGCCAGGAGGUGGAGGAUGACUACAUCAAGAGCUGGGAGGACAACCAGCCCGGGGAUGAAGCCCUGGACACCACCAAGGACCCGUGCCAGAAGGUGAAGUGCAGCCGGCACAAGGUGUGCGUGGCGCAGGGCUACCAGCGCGCCAUGUGCAUCAGCCGCAAGAAGCUGGAGCACAGGAUCAAGCCGCUGGGCCCCAAGGCGCACGGCGGCUGCAAGCCCUGCCACGCCGCCCCGCUGGCCGCCGUCUGCGGCUCCGACGGCCACACGUACAGCUCGGCGUGCAAGCUGGAGCAGCAGGCGUGCCUGGCCAGCAAGCAGCUGACGGUGCGCUGCGAGGGGCAGUGCCCCUGCCCGACCCCGCACAGCCCCGCCGGCGAGGCCAAACAAGAACUGUGCACCGGGCAGGACCUGGCCGACCUGGGCGACCGCCUGCGCGACUGGUUCCAGCUGCUGCGGGAGAACGCCAAGCAGAACGGCACCGCGGGGCUCCCCGCCAGCCCCAGCUCCGCGCUGGAGAGGAGCGUGGCGGCCGCCUGCAAGGAGGCGGUGGGGUGGAUGUUCGCCCGGCUGGACACCAGCGGGGACCUGUUCCUGGAGGCGGCCGAGCUGGCCGCCAUCAACCUGGACAAGUACGAGGUGUGCAUCCGCGCCUUCUUCAACUCCUGCGACACCUCCAAGGACGGCCGCGUGUCCGCCCCCGAGUGGUGCUUCUGCUUCUGGAGGGAAAAGCCGCCCUGUCUGAGGGAGCUGGAGAAAAUCCAGAUCCAAGAAGCGACCAAAAAAAAGCUGGGCACCUUCAUCCCCAGCUGCGAUGAGGAUGGCUACUACCGGCGGGCGCAGUGCGAGCCGGGCGGCGGCGAGUGCUGGUGCGUGGAUCAGCACGGGGCCGAGCUGACGGGCACCCGCGGGCACGGCAGCCCCGACUGCGAUGAAGCGACGGGGUUUUCGGGAGACUUCGGCAGCAGCGUGGGCUGGGAGGACGAGGAGGAGAAGGAGCCGGAGGAGGCGGGCGAGGAAGGCGAGGAAGAGGAGGGCGAAGCAGGCGAGGGCGACGACGGCGGCUACAUCUGGUAGAGGAGCAGGAGAGCCCGGUGGGCGGCAUGGCCGGGAGGCAGCCCCCCAGCCGGGGGUCCCCGUGACGCCCCCGCUGCCGGUGUGGCAUGGGAGCCUUGUAGGCCUAGUGUGCUGCUGCGUGGUCUUCAACCGGGCAAAUGGCGCUAAUAAAAGUGGGAAAAAAAAAGGAAAAAACAAAAAAAAACCCAACAAACCCCCUUAUAGAUAAGCUGCCCCCCCUUCCUCCCCGCAUCCCCCCUCAUGUUGUGCUUGCGUGGCUGCCCCGGCCCCGGCGUUGUGUAGCGGCUGUGAAAUAAAUACCCCGUGCUGUGUCAAA